rnacentral:lncRNA from 1 species
AUCUUUUUCCACCCGUAGAGGUAGUGCUGCAGCCUGCAAGUCGGUCAGCGUGUGUGACAUGGUGGUAGUGCAGAGGUUAGUCUGCAGCUUGUAAUAGGAAGCAUUAGGGUGUUGCACUUCAUGUGCAGGGCUGCAUCCUUUUCAAAAGCUUUCUUAGCAGGAAAAUGGUCUGAUUUUUCACAAAAGAAGGGCUAUGAUUAAAGGACAGUCUGCUUCCCUGAUGGACGAUUUUGAUUUAGUAGAGGAGAUCUUUAGAUAACCUAAUGAGGAGAGUUUUGUUUUUGCAGUGGGAAACCAUAGCAACCUGCCACUUUAGAAUGCAUGGUAUAUAAUCUGUCUGUCCUUCAGACAGUAUUUUGCAGUCCAGAAAUAGUCGUUUCCUCAUGUGUGAAUGCAAAAUGUCAGACAAAUGUAGCUGGAGUGACAGUGUGGUCUCUGAGGUAAACAUGAGCCUUGUUGUGCUGUCCGUGUGGUGCUGCACGUUUGGAAAGCAGAUCCCAAAGGAGGACAAAGAGAUCACCAAAAGACAUGGAGAACCUUACCUGGACUGCAUACACCUGCAUUAGAGUGUAAAAUGGAAGAUAACAUUUUACAGGUUAUCAAUAAGGUCCCUGGAGGAAAGUAUGCAGGAGAGGACCCAUCGCUGCUGGGCCAUGGCUUGCAGAGUACUCCCUGUUAGUCAGCACUGUGACCACAAUGAAGCAGGACGUGCCAGGCAUGAGAGAGUAGGGUGAAUGAGAGCAAAGUACCCACGUGUCUGCUGGGGAGAGACCCUGAAUUUUAGUUUCAUAGGGGAUGAGCGACUUUGUGAAGCUGGUUGCCAAUUCCUGCCUGAUUGCUGCAUCCCAGCAGGGAUCUACACUUCCACCUAUACAAAGACCUUUGUGAGAAUGGGAAUUAGGCAAGUAGUGUUUACAAAAUGCUCUUGGUUUUCAAAGUAUUCUACCAGAAGGUAAAACAGAGUUAGUAACAGACAUUAAGCCUUUCUUUUGUUGUUUGCUCCAUUACUCCCACACAGAAUGACACUUUAUUCUGAAGGAGACCCCGGGCCACGCAUUCCUGCAGAGCUCUGAGUCUCAGCCACAAACCUUUGGGUCUGCAGUGAAAGUGUGUGCGCAGCCUGGAGGAAGAGGCUUUACGUCAGCUUGCACCUUGAGAAUGUGUUACACAUGCACUUGACCUCUUUUCCAUUGAUUUUGGGCACAGUAGCUGUGUGGCCUUAAUACUAUGAUUUGUGAUAUCUGAUUUAUUGCCAUAUAACUUGAAGUGAUGGUAUUAUUCAUAUAAAAUUAUGACCUCUGUGCAGAA